rnacentral:rRNA from 1 species
GACGAACGCUGGCGGCGUGCUUAACACAUGCAAGUCGAACGGAGCGAAUGAAAGCUUGCUUUUAUGAGCUUAGUGGCAAACGGGUGAGUAACACGUAGACAACCUGCCGACAGGAUGGGGACAACAUUCCGAAAGGAAUGCUAAUACCGAAUGAAGCGGAGGAGAGGCAUCUCUCUUCCGUGAAAGAUGGCCUCUGAACAUGCUAUCACCUGUCGAUGGGUCUGCGUCUGAUUAGCUGGUUGGUGAGGUAACGGCUCACCAAGGCGACGAUCAGUAGCCGGUCUGAGAGGAUGAACGGCCACAUUGGGACUGAGACACGGCCCAGACUCCUACGGGAGGCAGCAGUGGGGAAUCUUCCGCAAUGGGCGCAAGCCUGACGGAGCAACGCCGCGUGAGUGAAGAAGGUCUUCGGAUCGUAAAGCUCUGUUGACGGGGACGAACGUGCGAAGGGUGAAUAAUCCUUUGCAA